rnacentral:rRNA from 1 species
GACGAACGCUGGCGGCGUGCUUAACACAUGCAAGUCGAACGGAAAGGCCCUGCUUUUGUGGGGUGCUCGAGUGGCGAACGGGUGAGUAACACGUGAGUAACCUGCCCUUGACUUUGGGAUAACUUCAGGAAACUGGGGCUAAUACCGGAUAGGAGCUCCUGCUGCAUGGUGGGGGUUGGAAAGUUUCGGCGGUUGGGGAUGGACUCGCGGCUUAUCAGCUUGUUGGUGGGGUAGUGGCUUACCAAGGCUUUGACGGGUAGCCGGCCUGAGAGGGUGACCGGCCACAUGGGGACUGAGAUACGGCCCAGAGUCGUACGGGAGGCAGCAGUGGGGAAUAUUGCACAAUGGGCGGAAGCCUGAUGCAGCAACGCCGCGUGCGGGAUGACGGCCUUCGGGUUGUGAACCGCUUUCGCCUGUGACGAAGCGUGAGUGACGGUAAUGGGUAAAGAAGCACCGGCUAACUACGUG